UUCGCCACAUUCACCACCGGAAUGGCCGCCACCGCCACAACCUCCGCGUGAAUGCUCCUUCUGUUGAGUGGGAUCGGGAUCAGGAUACCUUGAGGCAUUUGCAUGAUUCGUUCAAGACUGUUGGGUGAUGAUUGAUGAAUUGAUUGUGGAUUUGGGGGGGGNNNNNNNNNNNNNNNGGGGGGGGGAGGGGGGGGUUGUGGUUUGUGUUUUUGAUGCUGUGUAUGUAUCAUUGGAUGAUUUGAGUUGCAGAGUUGGAAGGCGAUGAUGAUGAACUGAUUCUGGAUAGUCUUUGGCAAUGAAAUCUGGUAUUACAAGGCGGAUGCCGCUUUCGGUCUCGAAAAUUGUUAUGUUGAUUUUUUCGAAUCUAGCUCAAUACAUUUUUUACUUCAGUUCAAAUGAAAUAAAAGAAAGUUACGGAGAGUUUCGAUUUUUUAUUUUUCAGACUUUCCGUGGUCCGAGUAUAAUUAACUUACAUGUAAAAUUUGGAGGUUUUCAACAUUUAACUAUUGCACAAUCCAAGUUAUGCUACGCUAUUUCUUUAUUUAGACGAAGUGAUCAUCAAAUGUAAUUCAAUUACUACUUAUAAGCUUUGGCAAUAAAAUCUUAGAAGAAGGAUAUGGCGCAUUCGGUCUCAAUCCUUAUUUUGGUAAUUUUUUCGAAUCCUG
rnacentral:lncRNA from 1 species